rnacentral:tRNA from 1 species
UAGCUCAGCGGAAGAGCAACCACCUUCUAUGUGGAGGCGCGCAGGUUCGAUCCCUGC